GAAACCGGUUGCGCCGCACGCUCCUUCCGUCCUGCAGCUGCUGGUGGCUACUUCCCCCUCCUCCUUCUCUAAACACGGAAACAAGAUCCGAGGCAGACUCCUAAGAAAGUCCCAUUUGGUUCAAUGCGGGUGUGCGGGGGCGUUAGACCAGGGCUGUGGAGGACCAGUGGUCCGUGAACUUCAUACAGGUGGGGGAGAUCACCUUGCCAAAGAUGUGAACUGAUCACUUGCAGAGGGCUUGUGAAAUUAGUCUGAGAGCCACAUGAAAUUAAGCUAAGAGCCUUAGGUUGCCCAUCCUUGUCUUACUUACAGGACUGUUAUAAGGAUUACAAAUACAUAAUACAUGUGAAGUGCUUUGAACUCUUGGAAAGAUUAUACAAAUGAUAAGUAUUAUUAUUAAAAGACACAUGACAGUAAUAGAACCAUCAGCAGUAAACUACGUAGGCGACAAAUGACAAAUAUAUCGUUACUUGCUUAAAACUGAAGAGAAUAAAAUGGCUUUAAACUGA